rnacentral:rRNA from 1 species
CCCAGACUCCUACGGGAGGCAGCAGUGGGGAAUAUUGCACAAUGGGGGAAACCCUGAUGCAGCGACGCCGCGUGAGCGAAGAAGUAUUUCGGUAUGUAAAGCUCUCUCAGCAGGGAAGAAAAAAAUGACGGUACCUGAGUAAGAAGCACCGGCUAAAUACGUGCCAGCAGCCGCGGUAAUACGUAUGGUGCAAGCGUUAUCCGGAUUUACUGGGUGUAAAGGGAGCGUAGGCGGCGCGUUAAGUCUGAUGUGAAAACCCGAGGCUCAACCACGGGAGUGCAUUGGAAACUGGCGGGCUGGAGUGCCGGAGAGGUAAGCGGAAUUCCUAGUGUAGCGGUGAAAUGCGUAGAUAUUAGGAGGAACACCAGUGGCGAAGGCGGCCUGCUGGACGACAACUGACGGUGAGGCGCGAAAGCGUGGGGAGCGAACAGGAUUAGAUACCCCAGUAAC